UGGCAAAGCUAGGCUAGGUCUUGGAGGCUGGUGUAAGGCGAUGCGGGUGAAGGCAGGAGGCUGAUGGAGAGACUGGGGGGAAGAAAAGCCGAAAUGGACUUCACCGGUGCCUUGGAUGAAGGACGAGAGGGGAACUGCAAGCUCCUUCAACUGGUUCUGUCCGGUGAGAAGUGAUCAAGCUUGGGCUGACAAGAGGCUCAGGGAGCCCUCACGUUCUUUCGCUUUUUUACCUGCCAAUCAAACUGCUACAAGACAACACCCUGAUCUGGCAUGGACAU
rnacentral:lncRNA from 1 species